AUGCGCAACGGCCGGCGCGAUGACUCGUACCAGCGGUGGCGCUGGCAGCCUUCCUCCUGCGACCACCCCAGGUUCGAUGCGCGGUUGCUGCUGGAGCGGCUGUGGAAGAAGAGGCUGAUGUUCGUGGGGGACUCCCUGAAGUCGAUGGUGUGCCUGGUGUCGUCGGCGAUCCCGUCGCGCGACCAAAAGUCCCUGGCCAAGUUCGUGGGGCCCAACGGCUCUCUCAACGUGUUCAUGGCGGCGGAUUACAACGCGACGGUGGAGUUCUACUGGGAGCUCCAAGCCUCCAACUCGGAUGACCCGCAGGCGCACGGCGUGCUGGACCCCGUCAUCGCCUGGCGGUCCAUUCCCAAGCACGCCCGGCACUAG
rnacentral:rRNA from 1 species